GACGAACGCUGGCGGCGUGCUUAACACAUGCAAGUCGAACGGAAAGGCCUCAGCUUGCUGGGGUACUCGAGUGGCGAACGGGUGAGUAACACGUGGGUGAUCUGCCUUGCACUCUGGGAUAAGCUUGGGAAACUGGGUCUAAUACCGGACAUGAACUGCCUUUAGUGUGGUGGUUGGAAAGUUUUUUCGGUGCAAGAUGAGCUCGCGGCCUAUCAGCUUGUUGGUGGGGUAAUGGCCUACCAAGGCGUCGACGGGUAGCCGGCCUGAGAGGGUGUACGGCCACAUUGGGACUGAGAUACGGCCCAGACUCCUACGGGAGGCAGCAGUGGGGAAUAUUGCACAAUGGGCGGAAGCCUGAUGCAGCGACGCCGCGUGGGGGAUGACGGCCUUCGGGUUGUAAACUCCUUUCGACAGGGACGAAGCUUUUUGUGACGGUACCUGUAUAAGAAGCACCGGCUAACUACGUG
rnacentral:rRNA from 1 species